CAUCUUCGGGGCAGGGUGUAAUUCCCGACCGGCGGUAAAUAAACGACAUGUUUACAGCCCGCGAGCCGUAAAACGCUGAUUCAGUGAAAAUCUGGAGCCGACAGUAUAGUCUGGAUGGGAGAAGGUG
rnacentral:ncRNA from 1 species